GUGAAUCAUCGAAUUUUUGAACGCAUAUUGCACUCUCUGGUAUUCCGGAGAGUAUGCCUGUUUGAGGGUAAGUAAAAUGAAUCUUUACCAAUUUUUGUGGUCAAAGGAAAUGAGUUCUCCGCGUUGAUAGCUGUAGCUUGAAAUAAAUGGUAGUCUCAUUUUAGUCGAGACGCGUAAGAAUAUUAUUUCGCUACGUAUGCUUUUUGUGACUAUCAAUUUUUGAGGCAU
rnacentral:misc_RNA from 1 species